rnacentral:miRNA from 2 species
UUUGGCAAUGGUAGAACUCACACCG